AAAGCACAUUUAUUGUAUAAGAUCUCCUUUAGCUACGCCAAGAUUAAAGAAGAAUGGAAUGUCGUCAAGAUAGAUGGGUUCAAUGAAAAAUAUGAUCAAAAUAGGUUUCUGUCCCUCCACUGCUUCUUGUUUCCCAGGUUCAGCUUUUGUCCUAGCAGAAGAAAAAGGUGAGAAUGGAGCAGUAC